rnacentral:rRNA from 1 species
AGAGAGAGACAUGCGCGCAUAUCAAUAAGCGGAGGAAAAGAAACUAACAAGGAUUCCCUUAGUAACGGCGAGUGAAGCGGGAAGAGCUCAAAUUUGAAAUCUUCAAGGUUCUACCUUGACGAAUUGUAGUUUAUAGAAGUGUUUUCUGUUAGUAGAGUGGCAAAAGUUCUUUGGAAUAGGACAUCAUAGAGGGUGAGAAUUCCGUAUUUGGUCAUUCCUCCUAGCGUUGUGAUACACUUUCAACGAGUCGGAUUGUUUGGGAAUGCAGUCCAAGAUAGGUGGUAAAUUUCAUCUAAAGCUAAAUAUUGGCGAGAGACCGAUAGCGAACAAGUACCGUGAGGGAAAGAUGAAAAGAACUUUGAAAAGAGAGUUAAACAGUACGUGAAAUUGUCAAAAGGGAAGCAGUUUGACACCAGUAUUGUUUUUCCGAAAAUCAAUUACGAAUGUUUUGUUUUUGAGGAGUUAUGACUUCAUCGGCUUGCUCCUUUCUCUAUGAAACUUUCUUAAUGCACUUUUCGGUUAACAAGUCAACAUCAAUUUCUUUUGUUGUAAAAGGGUAUGAGGAAGGUGGCUUUCAUUUCGGAGAAAGUGUUUAUAGCCUUGUGCCUCUGCAAUCGGAGAGAUUGAGGUCUGCAGCGUAGAUCCUUCGGGGUUAGAUACGUUUGUGCUAAGUUAUAGCUUUUCAUAGACAACUUGUUGACUAUGAUUAGUCAUGUAGCUUACUCGCUUAUGCCUAUUUUACCUACGCUUAGGAUGUUGAUAGUCACAGCGUGUAC